rnacentral:rRNA from 1 species
GAAUUACUGGGCGUAAAGCGCACGCAGGCGGUUUGUUAAGCUAGAUGUGAAAGCCCCGCGCUCAACGUGGGAGGGUCAUUUAGAACUGGCAGACUAGAGUCUUGGAGAGGGGAGUGGAAUUCCAGGUGUAGCGGUGAAAUGCGUAGAGAUCUGGAGGAACAUCAGUGGCGAAGGCGACUCCCUGGCCAAAGACUGACGCUCAUGUGCGAAAGUGUGGGUAGCGAACAGGAUUAGAUACCCUGGUAGU